AGUUAGACAUGCUUAGAAACAUUACUAACAUGUGCUUUGUUUAGUAAAACAAUUGGCUUCAGAUUUCUAAAUGUGACAUGUGACUAGUGCCAACACUUUUAUUCCAGCUUUGCUGGAUGCCUGAUUCUGGGUAGAAGGAGAAACGAGUAAAACUAGGAAGUUAUUUAUGGUUAUCAUGCAGUUUAAUUAUUGAGAACAGAUUUUCUAUAUCAUUCCAUUCAUUCUUGUUUUUAGUAUUUCUCAUAUUCAUGGAAAAAAAGAGCCUAAUAAAAAUGAACUAAAAUUACUUCUUUUAACAUGCCAGCAACAUUUGCCUGUAUUUAACAUAAGUAAUAUAAUACUACAAGAGUAAUGAUGAACAACAGAAAGCACAAAAGUGCAACUGUCUUAAACAUAUGAAAAAAUUGACAGUACUCAAGUGUGUGAAGAAAGGUAGUGAAACUGAGUGACAUGUGAUUGUAUCACAAGAAGGAUGGCGGAAUGCUACAAUUCUAUGUUAGUAGCUGAACAUUGUUUUCUUAUACUACUUCCAGCUAGAUCUAAUAAAGACUAUAGACAGUAAAAGGCAGGUACUAUAGACCUUAUUCUAAACACUUCAAUAGUAUAUUGAUUACUUGCAUAAGGUAGUAUACUUUUUCAUUUUAUUUUUGUCUUUGUUUUAGUAUCGUCAGAAAGACUGACUCUUCCAGAAUCAGUUAAAGUUUAGAUGAUGAUGAUGCUGACAUUUGAGGUAUUGCUGUGAUGUUACAGCUGUAUAAGAGAGAGAAUUUGGUGCAACCUGUGUGGAGGACAAUGCGAUUUGAUUACCAGGGCCAAUUAUAGAAGCAGAGGGGCUGUGAUGAGCUAUUGGUCGACUGUAACAGGCACUGAUCAGUGCAUAUGCAAAUUAUUAUACAGAGUGGCAGUUAUACGGAAGGAAAGGGGUUAGGUAUAGCAUAAUGUACCUACUGAACAACAUGAAUAUUUUUACUUUUGUC